CAUCCUACGGGAGGCAGCAGUGAGGAAUAUUGGUCAAUGGGCGCGAGCCUGAACCAGCCAAGUCGCGUGAGGGAAGACGGUCCUAUGGAUUGUAAACCUCUUUUGUCGGGGAGCAAAAGACGCCACGCGUGGCGUUCCGAGAGUACCCGAAGAAAAAGCAUCGGCUAACUCCGUGCCAGCAGCCGCGGUAAUACGGAGGAUCCGAGCGUUAUCCGGAUUUAUUGGGUUUAAAGGGAGCGUGGGUGGAUUGUUAAGUCAGUUGUGAAAG
rnacentral:rRNA from 1 species